GCCAAUGUGACCUUUCUCUCCUUACUCACUUGAUGACACUCAAAAAGUUGUUCAACUUUCAUCUCCCAAUCUAAGUAUGCCUCAACAUCUUCCUUACCAUGGAAAUGGGGGAGGUCUACUCUAACCUCUCUUGAAGGGUGCUCUCUUUGAAUUCUAAGUGGGGGAGGUUGAUAGUAUUGAUGGGCAAGCCUACCAUCUACCUCAUAG
rnacentral:lncRNA from 1 species